UGUAUCUUGGGGGUUUAUAAAAGCUAUUCAUGUAUUGUAAUAUUUAUACCAAUGAUUCAGGCAAUCGCUAGAAGAUAUAAUAUAAUCAAGGUUAUAUAUCAUUUAUAUACACAGAACUUCAACUGGUAUAGAUCUCCGGAAAAAGUAUAAUAAAGUAUGUUCCGUUUGGGGUUUUUGUUAGCCGUCAUCACUGGAGCUGUUGCCCUCAAUGAUUAUUGGUAUGCUCUAUAUGGAUGCCAUCCACCCAGUUCACUCAGAGCUCGAGCAGAAUUAAUAGCUUUUGACAACGACAAAAACUUUGAUGGAAAAGUAACAAGUAAAGAUUUGGAUAUAAAUCUCGUUAACUAUGAUAAAGACGGAGAUACGACUCGAACAUAUAUGUGGGAAACUGUUUUUCACUGGAGAUGUCGAUACGGCUUUCAUGAAGAUUUUGUUCGAUAUUUCUACCAACUUCUGGAUGUCAACAAAGAUGGCGUCUGGACAGACGUGGAUUAUGCAAGUCCAUUUUUUAUGACUGGAGAGAAGUUUAGGAAAAGACAAAUUGAUCUAUUCAGACGAUACUGCGAAGAAAGGAACAAUAAACCAACAGAUUGUUGGAAAUUAAAAGUUGAACCAAACCUGGACAGUUUCGGUAAUUUUUCCCUUCCAAUGGAUUAUUAUUUUUAAAGUAAAUGUUUGCUUUUGAAAUAACAAUAAAGAUA